CGGCGAGUGAAGAGGGAAAAGCCCAAAUUUGUAAUCUGGCUCUUUUAUAAGGGUCCGAGUUGUAAUUUUGAGAACUGUUUUCUGUGCUGGACCAUGUACAAGUCUGUUGGAAAACAGCAUCAUUGAGGGUGAUAAUCCCGUACAUGAUAUGGACUACCAGUGCAAUAUGAUACAGUCUCUAAGAGUCGAGUUGUUUGGGAAUGCAGCUCAAAGUGGGUGGUAAAUUCCAUCUAAGGCUAAAUAUAGGUGAGAGACCGAUAGCAAACAAGUACCGUGAGGGAAAGAUGAAAAGAACUUUGGAAAGAGAGUUAACAGUACGUGAAAUUGUUAAAAGGGAAACAUUUGAAGUUAGACUUGUUAUUGUUGGCUCAGCUCCUUUUUUAAUUAGGAGUCUAUUCCAAUGGUUAACAGACCAGCAUCAAUUUUUGAGUGUUAGAUAAGGGUCUUGAGAAUGUGGCAACUUUGGUUGUGUUAUAGCUCUUGGCUUGAUAUAAUGCUUAGGAUUGAGGAACGCAGUGAGCUUUUUAUAAAGUGGAUUCAAUUUUUUGGAUCUUCAUCACUACGGAUGUUGGUGUAAUAGC
rnacentral:rRNA from 1 species